UACAGUUCAGAUCUUACAGUGAUGCC
rnacentral:piRNA from 1 species